AUGGAGGGAUCCAGCGCCAUCAAGAUGACAGCUGAAGCAAGAGACAUUGCUGUCGUGAUGCUCGAGUCAAUGUUACAUCUCGUAUUGAAGCAGAUUACAGUACCAAAAUUUUCUAGUAGGUGGUCUCUUGUCUCCAAGGCGUUCCAGAAAAAGAGAUUUGUGUGCAACAAGGGGCAGUUGCAGGAGUUGCACAUCAUUGAUCUUGAGAGUAGACUUCAGCUUCUCUUCAGGAGAUUGAUCCAUAACAGGGGUCACUUGACUCACUUCCCAGUCUCAUUAUAUGAAUGCCCGUGGGGACUUGAGUGGGUUUCACCCAACUCACCAAUCUCAAGAUCUGGAUCUGACAUCAAACUGCACGCUCGUGCAGAUGAGUUUGCUGCCAAGAGUGGAGACAUGACAAGCUUGUCGUGGAGAUGGGUGGCAGCGGCACAGCACCCCAUCAGCGACGAGAUUUUGUUGUUUACAAGGUCAGCUAGUGCUUAUAUAGAGAGGCAAACAGCACCGAUACAUAGAAAGCACACCACACCAUCACCCAUUCUAGCCAUGGCUAGCCAGCAAAACUUCUUUUCUCUGAAGGCGAACAUCUCUUCACCUUUGGCUACCAUUGAAACAAUGUUCGAUGACUUUAGGAGGUGUGUACUUGUGUACAAUAGCAUCAAGGAGAUCAUAUGCAGCCAAAUUAUCCUUUGCCAGAGCAACAAAGACAGGUACUCGGGAAAUUACAUUGGCUCUCAGGCCAAGAUACAGUCCUUCAUUCAUCUGACCAAGAUGGCGCAAAAACAGUGGAAGAAGAUCAAUGGAAAUCUCCUUCAGCUGAGAAGGAGGGUGGCCAAACUGUUGGCCGGAGCAAGAGAGGUCGUUACUUCGAUGCUUCAGUCAUCCACGUGGCUCCUACUGAAGCAAAUUGUGAUGCCGAGUUAUAACAAGUCGUAUCUUGUCUCCAAGAAGUUCCACAAGAGAAGACUUCCAUGCAACAAGGAGCAAUUACUGAAACUGGAGUUUCGUUGUUCUCGAGGGCAGAGUUUCUUUUCUGAAUGCUCUAAGCUUGUACAUGGAUGA
rnacentral:rRNA from 1 species